GAGGAUACACCUGUUCCCAUUCCGAACACAGAAGUUAAGCUCUUUAGCGCCGAUGGUACUUGGUGGGAAGCUGCCUGGGAGAGUAGGACGUAGCCACGU
rnacentral:rRNA from 1 species